GACGGGUUUAUGCAAGUCUUCUAAAUUUGUUUUGGAUAAUUCCGCCCGUUU
rnacentral:tRNA from 1 species